GACGAACGCUGGCGGCGUGCUUAACACAUGCAAGUCGAACGGAGCGCCUAUGAAGGAGAUUUCGGUCAACGGAAUAGGUUGCUUAGUGGCGGACGGGUGAGUAACGCGUGAGGAACCUGCCUUUCAGAGGGGGACAACAGUUGGAAACGACUGCUAAUACCGCAUAACACAUAGGUGUCGCAUGGCAUUUAUGUCAAAGAUUUAUCGCUGAAAGAUGGCCUCGCGUCUGAUUAGCUAGUUGGUGAGGUAACGGCUCACCAAGGCGACGAUCAGUAGCCGGACUGAGAGGUUGGCCGGCCACAUUGGGACUGAGAUACGGCCCAG
rnacentral:rRNA from 1 species